rnacentral:rRNA from 1 species
AGAGUUUGAUUACUGGCUCAGGGAUGAACGCUGGCGGCGUGCUUAACACAUGCAAGUCGAACGAAGCUCUCUUACGGAUCCCUUCGGGGUGAAGUAAGAGAUGACUGAGUGGCGGACGGGUGAGUAACGCGUGGGUAACCUACCCUAGUACAGGGGGAUAACGGUUGGAAACGACCGCUAAUACCGCAUAAGCGCACGGUACCGCAUGGUACAGUGUGAAAAAACUCCGGUGGUAUAGGAUGGACCCCGCGUCUGAUUAGCUAGUUGGCGGGGCAACGGCCCACCAAGGCGACGAUCAGUAGCCGACCUGAGAGGGUGACCGGCCACAUUGGGACUGAGACACGGCCCAAACUCCUACGGGAGGCAGCAGUGGGGAAUAUUGCACAAUGGGCGAAAGCCUGAUGCAGCCGACGCCACGUGAGUGAUUGAAGUAUUUCGGUAUGUAAAGCUCUAUCAGCAGGGAAGAAAAAUGACGGUACCUGACCAAGAAGCUCCGGCUAAAUACGUGCCAGCCGCAGC